rnacentral:rRNA from 1 species
AAACGAAAAUUAGGAGAUCGAAGACGAUCAGAUACCGUGGUAGUCUUAACUAUCAACUAUGCCGACUAGGGAUCGGACGAUGUUAUCCUUGGGCGCGUUCGGCACCCUUAGAGAAAUCAACGUACAUGGGCGCCAGGGGGAAUAUGGUCGCAAGGAUGAAACUUAAAGAAAUUGACGGAAGUGCACCGACAAGGGUCGAACAUGCGGCUUAAUGAGACUCAACACGGGUAAAAUCUCCAGGUCGAGACGCAGUGAGGAGUGACAGGUUGAGAGCUCUUUCGUGACUCUGUGGGGGGUGGGGCAUGUCCGUUCUUAGUUGGUGGAGUGAUUUGUCUGCUUAAUUGCGAUAACGAACGAGCCUUUAACCUGCUAAAUAGCCCGUACUGCUUUGGCAGUUCGCCGGCUUCUUAGAGGGCCUAUCGGCUCAAGCCGAUGGAAGUUUGAGGCAAUAACAGGUCUGUGAUGCCCUUAGAUGUCCUGGGCAGCACUCGCGUUACACUGACCGAGCCAGCGAGUAUUUCCUUGACCGGAAGGUCCGGGUAAUC